rnacentral:rRNA from 1 species
UUYUUAAAGUUUAGGAUUUUAAGUAACACCUGCUCAAUGAAUUUAAAUAGCUGCAGGAGACUGUACUAAGGUAGCAUAAUCAAUAGUUUUUUAAUUGAAAACUUGUAUGAAGGGUUAAAUAGGUAAUAAAUAGAGUAUUAAGAUAAUAAAUUGAAUUUUGAUUUUUUGUAAAAAUACAAAGAUAAAAUUUAGGGACAAGAAGACCCUAUAAAGCUUGAAAGAUAUAUUUAUUUGUUUGAUUUAUUUUUUUUUGUUGGGGAAAUGUAAUAAGAGAAAAAUUUUAUUUUUGAUCCAAAAUUUUUGAUUAAAUGAUUAAGUUACUUUAGGGAUAACAGCAUAAUAAUAGAAUUGAAGUACUAAUUUGAUUUUAUGAUUGUGACCUCGAUGUUGGAUUAAUAUGUCUUUUGGAUGAAGAAGAUUAAAAAGAUAGUCUGUUCGACUAUUAAAUUAUUACA